rnacentral:rRNA from 1 species
AACGAACGUUGGCGGCGCGCCUAACACAUGCAAGUCGCACGAGAAAGGGAGCAAUCCCCGGUACAGUGGCGCACGGGUGAGUAACACGUGGAUAACUUUCCCUCGAGCGGGGGAUAACCUUCCGAAAGGAGGGCUAAUACCGCAUAAGACUACGGCUGGUUCGCCAGCUGAGGUUAAAGCAGGCCUCUUCAUGAAAGCUUGCACUCGAGGAUGGGUCCGCGGCCCAUCAGCUAGUUGGUGGUGUAAUGGACCACCAAGGCUAAGACGGGUAACUGGUCUGAGAGGAUGAUCAGUCACACUGGAACUGAGACACGGUCCAGACUCCUACGGGAGGCAGCAGUGGGGAAUCUUGCGCAAUGGACGAAAGUCUGACGCAGCGACGCCGCGUGGGUGAUGAAGGCCUUCGGGUUGUAAAGCCCUGUGGGGAGGGACGAAUAAGUCUGACCUAAUACGUCAGGCGAUGACGGUACCUCCUUAGCAAGCACCGGCUAACUCUGUGCCAGCAGCCGCGGUAACAC